rnacentral:rRNA from 1 species
GUCAAGCCAUGGAAGCUGGGAGUACCUGAAGACGGUCACCGCGAGGAGCUGUUUAGGGUAAAACUAGUGACUGGGGCUAAGUCGUAACAAGGUAGCCGUACCGGAAGGUGCGGCUGGAACACCUCCUUU